CAGCCGUAAACGAUGCGCGUUAGGUGUAUCGACGACCACGAGUCGUCGAGGUGCCGAAGGGAAACCGUGAAACGUGCCGCCUGGGAAGUACGGUCGCAAGGCUGAAACUUAAAGGAAUUGGCGGGGGAGCACCACAACAGGUGGAGCCUGCGGUUUAAUCGGACUCAACGCCGGAAAUCUCACCGGAUAAGACAGCAGAAUGAUUGCCGGGCUGAAGACUCUGCAUGACUAGCUGAGAGGAGGUGCAUGGCGUCAGUGACU
rnacentral:rRNA from 1 species